UCUGGGCUCUUGUUCUAGGAGAUAGUGGUGAAUGGUUAACUCAUUCGUUCAAUCCCUUAAUAUGAGACUGAAAGUCCACAGUUGGCGGAGUUUCAGGAGCCAUCUCCGGCCUUGCAGGGACUGUUACUGCUAGGAGGGUGGGCACAGGCUCCUCAGCCUGGGGCCGUCCCCUUUCGCACCAGCACCAGUCGUUUCUGCCUUCAUAUUAAUGGCACGCUGUUGCGCUCUCCUGGCUGUUUCUGGUUUGGAUGCAGGUUUUGGCUGUGACCUUGGCAAUGGGUUAUUCACCUAGAGUCUCAAAAGCCGGAAAGUCCAAACUGCAAUUCUUUGGUAACCUGAGAAAGAGAAAGAAGAGCAGUGAGAACAAGAGGCCUUGGAUAUUCAAAUCAAUUAAACAAUUAAUUCCUACCCUGCAAACUGGCGUGUCAAGCUUCAGCCUGUGGCCGACUUAUUUGGCUGAAUUAUAACCCCCUGGCAAGCAGCGGUUCCUCAUGGAAAAGCUGGAGGAGUCUUAAGUACAUGUGGGUUCGGAGCAGCUCCAGAGAUACGAAAGAGCGAACAGUGUUUUAAGGCCACGGUACAAUGUGACAACAGUGAUAGAUAUGCUAAUUUCUUCAUUCACUCCACUUCACUUCUUUUAUUCUUUCCAAUUAAAGCAAAUGCUACUGAAACUGUAAUUAAGCCAGGGCUGGGCC